UCCUCCUCGCUGUUUCCCGCACUGUCCAUUGGAGAGGAGUCCUCUUCCCGCAUCGUCUCUUCCAAAACUUUGUAAUGGUCUGUCGGAGCGUAAUAACCCCUGACCCUAAUUCAGUGAACUGGAUACAACAUCAACAAACUCAACAGUCAGAUAAACAUGAUGGGACAUUCCGCCAGUUGUCGUGGAAACGCUGAGAAAGCACAGCUGGGCGGGAGAAUAUGAGACAGGCCAGAGUCAUGGCAGCCAGGUGGAUCGAGUGCAUGGAGUCUGGUCGUUUGUUCAGCGCCCGGACAAACUGGAAGUUGAGGAUCCCACCAAUCAGACCACAGAUACAGCAUGCCGAAAAUAGGAUCAUCUGAUGGACAGCGACAGAGAGAAUGGUUUAUGCCAAUGCAAACUGCGGAAUUGAUAUGUUAUAAACAAAACUGUAAACAAACUGACAAAAAGUGAUGAGAUGGGGGAUAUACAAGCUACUAUCGAGAUCCAUCUCCAUCAUUCUGCUGUUUUUGGACAACGGCUGCUUUGAUGAAUAUGA